ACUACAUAGUCGGGGUGCCAAGGCAGACAUUGCUGAGGCUGAGAUCGAAAUUCGAGACCCGUUGAACCUGAUUCAGUUAACACUGACGUAGGGAACUAUCAUCACUUUGCC
rnacentral:ncRNA from 1 species